AGUAAAGUGCCUGAAAAAAGGGUUAUUUUGAUAGAGUAAAUUAUGUAAUUAUAUACCUUUAUUA
rnacentral:tRNA from 1 species